rnacentral:rRNA from 1 species
ACAGAGUGACAGGUGGUGCAUGGUUGUCGUCAGCUCGUGUCGUGAGAUGUUGGGUUAAGUCCCGCAACGAGCGCAACCCUUGAUCUUAGUUGCCAGCAUUUAGUUGGGCACUCUAAGGUGACUGCCGGUGACAAACCGGAGGAAGGUGGGGAUGACGUCAAAUCAUCAUGCCCCUUAUGACCUGGGCUACACACGUGCUACAAUGGACAGAACAAAGGGCUGCGAGACCGCAAGGUUUAGCCAAUCCCACAAAUCUGUUCUCAGUUCGGAUCGCAGUCUGCAACUCGACUGCGUGAAGCUGGAAUCGCUAGUAAUCGCGGAUCAGCAUGCCGCGGUGAAUACGUUCCCGGGCCUUGUACACACCGCCCGUCACACCACGAGAGUUUGCAACACCCGAAGUCGGUGAGGUAACCUUUAUGGAGCCAGCCGCCGAAGGUGGGGCAG